rnacentral:lncRNA from 1 species
UUUCUUAAAUUCCACAUCUUAGUGAAAUCAGUUGGUAUUUGUCUUUCUUUGGCUGAUUUGUAUCACUUAGCAUAAUACUAUAGGAUGUUACUCUUAUCUCUUCCACAUAUCCCAACUGGAGAUCCUUUUCAGAGAGACAUGAUGCUCUUUAAAAAGGCAAAUACCCCUGCUGAAGUUCAGCACCAACUGACAACCUAAUGUCCAUCACUUUAAUCAACUAGCUGAGUUGGGUUUUGUGUCCAGAGUGGAGAAGCUGCUGGGAGGGGGGAGUGGCAUUUUGCAGCAGGAGGGCAUGCCUGAGUGGGUUAGAGGAGUUCAAAGCACUUAAUCUCUGGGCAGAACUGAGAAGAAAGGGAGAGGGAACAAUGCACCUAAAUCCGAGAUGGAGAGACAGAAAGAACAACUAGAGGUCAUGGGACACUGAAAUCAUGAAAAGAUUGAAAAUCACAGCCUUCCUGGUACCGCCCUGUCCUCCUGUGGGAAAGAAGAAAAGAAAGGUAGAGACGGGGACCCAUAGAAGCUCCCACCUCUUCUCUCCCCAUUUUUACUAUCUGUUAGGGGCCAGCACAAUAACCCAAGAAUUCCCAGAUUAUCCUGAAACUGCACGACCCACACUGAAAGCAACACCCCGAUUUUAGGAGUCAAAGAGACCAAACAGACCCACUGUGGGGUUUUUUUGGUGAAAACAUUCAGAUUAGGUUUUAAGGACUAAGACUUCCUCGAAGUCACUGCUAAAUAGCUAGUAAAGUAGCUGGCAAAGCUGGUGACUAGGACGCACUGCUCUGGGCUAAGAGCACCACUGUUGUCUCCCUAUCCUGAGCACGUGGGAGUUUGUGACAGCUGAGAAUCACUCAAGGGCUGUGUGCUGUGCAACGGCAGAGACGUGUCUAAACCACCUUCUGAUUAUCUUGGGAAAAGCCACUUGUCAUUUUCUGACAAAGAAUUUUCUUAAAUUGCCGAAUAAUUUCCUUUUACUAGGAAAAAAAAAAUAUUUUGCAGGCUGCCAUACACUAUAUUGCUUGGUUUCUGACUUUUCUGAAACAUUCUUCCCCAAAAGAAGAAUCCAUCAGGGUCUGACUACUCCAAGAAAUUUCACAUUGCCCUGGUCUUGCAAACACAAUGUGACCUACUUCUGUCCAUUCCCUGCUUCCCUCUGCUUGAACUAUAAAGAAACUUGAAUGCUCUUAUUCUAUGGUUUUGACUCCUGGCUCUGCAAGUAGAAAAAAUACUAACAAAAGGAAAUCUUCCAUUCAGUCUAGGUGUCUUUUAAUAGGAAGCCUACAGAAGUCUUAUUUUUUUU